rnacentral:pre_miRNA from 1 species
UAUAACUUUUUACUCUUCGUCUUAUUCAAUUUUUUUUUGCGAUUGAUAUUUUUGUUUUUAUUAGAUGAUAAAUCAUGAAUAGUACUUUAUGUGUGACUAAUUUUUUUCUAAUUUUCUAAAAACUUUUCAAAUAAGACGGAUUGUCAAACGUUGGACACGAAAACCGA